rnacentral:lncRNA from 1 species
CAUUGAAUUUGAAGUAAAUUUUUUGGAAAGAAGAUCAACGUAGAUUGUUUAAUCGAAUUGCUGAGGAAAUCCAAGGUUAACUUAUUUUAAAUUAAACUUAGAUAUUUUGAAUUCUAAAAUGGUUGUGAAGAUCAUGUAGUGACCAUAAACUUGAUUAAUGCCUUGAAGGUUAGUUAUGGUUAGUAUACUCUACAUAAAUUGAGAACAAAGAGAUCUGGAGGUUCUGCUCAAUCAAAGUUUUGAAAUUUGAAUUUUCUUACUCCUAGUGCAAAGUGAUGUUUUGGUCAUAAAUCUUUAGAAGCUUUAGAGCAUUUAAUGGAUUAUAUCAGAGUGCGCAGUGGAAGUGUAGUGGUUUGAGUUAUUUUGAAACUGAUUAAAAAAUAAUAAUAAUAACAAUACCUUGAUCUGAAAGGUAUUAUUAUAGAACACUUGAGUUAGUUUCUUGUAGAGGGGAAUGUUGUUGAUUCUUUGUCUACUGGAAGUAGUUGUGGGCUCUCCUAUUUUUGAUAAUUUUAAGAACAAUUUUGGGGCAUCUCAAAUUUAGCGUUGAUGGAUUGAUAGCUCUGUGAUUAAACUUGGGCCUGGAAUGAUUUAACAUAGUUCUUCGACUCCUAGCUCUGACAUUGUUAAUAUGCCUAUUUGAACAGGUUUGCGGUUUUCCUAGGAUAAAGGUUGAUCAUUUAAUCACAGGCAAAGUUAAGAAAAGAAAAAUGAUUGUAGAAUAUUAAGAGCAUUUGAUACUAAAAAAAAAUUUCUCCUAUUUCUGUCUAGCCAAUUAUGAUCUCUGUGUAGAAUCAAAAGAAAUUAAUUUCUUUGGGAUAUAAUUAUGACAGUUUAAUCCAAGGUUGGGAAUUUGGAAUUCUUUUGAAGGAGAUCAAAAGAACUUAAUACGUGUGGC